AUGUGAUCCCUCGUACGACCAAUGGGUUCUAAUUUGGAAACUGCUGAGUUGUUCCGGUGCUGUUCAUGCGGAAUUGAUCGACAAUUCGUUAAAUGAUUUGAUUAAGAAAACAAAAUGGUAUCUGGAGGAUGAUUUAAUGAUUGGGAUAUUGAUGGUAGCAAACUCAAAAAAAGUAAUACCUUUCAUUGAAGAUACUUGGUAUCUGGAAGAAAGUGAUUUGCUCUGCAGUGUCUGUCUAAGACCUGCCCUCCGUUUUUUUUUGUACAAAAACAAGAAAAUGCGAUUCGUGUGCAAGACAAAAUUUUCGGAGACUGUUAGACAAAAUCCAUUAUCCCACAAUGCUCGACAAUUUUCAUGGAAGAAUGCUGACUAUUCCACCAGGAAUGGAUGCUUUUGUGUUCCCAGUAAAUCGAAUGUCAUCUAGCCGUCCGUGCCCAAUUCAAUACUUUUAUAAGUUGGAUAAAUUUUUACAAAAAUGUGUUCGGGAAGGAAUUGUACCUGGCAAAUACUUUAAAAUGCCAAAUACAGUUGAAGAAUGAUGACCAAGGAUCACAAGGUGGGAAAUACACCCCCUUAGUUACACUAAUCCACCGUAUCGUUUACGUGUACACCAAGGGGAAACCCAUCUUCAUAUCCAUGCUUCAUCCAAGUGGAUUUGUUGUCGGCUGUUACGGACUCAUGGAAUGGAUUACAGCCCUUGAAAACUAUUCAGUCGAUUUACGGGACAUUUACUUCCUUUUUUACGGACUAAAACUCAUUUAUCAUUUAUCAUUGAUUAUGAUGAACACGGGACUAAACUUGCUCACGUGCAGGCAUUGAGAAAGCUCACGUGCAGGAGCAGUUAGCCGUCAAAGAAAUGGUGUUGUUCUGUGAAAACCGCAAAGUUUGUCGAAACGUCAGAAUUGCACAUUUCUUAGAUGAAACACCACGACCAUAUGAUCGUAAUUCGUCAGCCGUUUGCGACAUUUGCGCAUCUGAAGCCAUAUAUAAAGAAGUUGACGUCAUACAACAUGUUUGUGAUAGGAGCUUGCAUACCGGCGAUGUUAAGGAUUGUGCACUGUACGGCAAAGGUUCAGGUUGGAAAACUGAUAAUGCCUUUAGAUUAGUUCAACAACUAAUUCUGGAUAACGUACUGGAAGAAAGGUUGGUGUGUGAAAAAGGACGACAAGCGUAUGCAAUUAUUCUCAUUGGAAGCAACUGGCCUUUGCAAAAGGUUCGGGCAGAGCGCGCUCAAUUUACGCACCGAUCACCCGAUCGAUCAGUGAUCACUGAGUGGUGAUUUGAUGGAACCAGCAACCCAAAAAUGGGAUCGUGAUCGGGUCGAUGCGAAUAAUUAUCUCGAUCAAACUUCUGAUCAAUUUACAGUGUUGAAUAUGAUAAAUGCUUGGAUUUUUAUAGCAACGAUAAGGAUACGCUUAGAAUUAGCAAAUAUAUAGCUAGAAUUUUGAUUGGAGCGUUGAUCGGGAUUUGAUCGGGAAAUAUGACCAAAUAUUCGAUCGGCUUACGGAGCGGGAUAGAAAAUUUGGGGAAAGAGCGGGAUUGGAGCGCGACAACGAAAAAGCGUGAUCGUGUCCAACCCUGGAUAUUUCAUAAUAAAAAUGAAAUUCUUCUGAAUAACUUCUGUAAGAUUACAUAUACAAAUGAUAGUUAAUAAUAAACCAAAAAUUAGCCCAAAAUUUACCGAAAAAUAAAAUCAAUAAAGAAUAAUAUAAUCAAUAAUCAAUAAUCACCCUUGACUUAUUGGGGUAUGUAUCACUGAAAAGAGCUUUGGAAAGGAGUGCCUUUACAUAAGAAUAUACACGUAAAGAGGAGGGGGAGUUGGUGAACGGGAGCUAUGUGAACAGACCUCAACACUACUAUUACAAAUCAACAGUUAAUUGUGGAUGAUUAAUAAAUACACUAUAACACCAUUAUUUAACUAAAAUUUAAUUGAAAUUCUUAUGCACACGAAGCUGAACUUCUACUAUUUCAAAUAGAAAGCUUCGUAGGGUAUUGGAAAUUUUCUUCUGGGAUUUUUUUCAUAGAUGAUUUCAAAAUGUUUUAUUUUUAUUUUCUUUGAUAUUGAUUACAGGAUUUUAAAGCAAACCAAUGGAUUCACAGCCCAGCAACGAAUUGACUAGUAGUAUUGUUUAGUAUUUCUUAGAAGAUUAAUUCUCCGUCUUACCUUAAGAUGUCUUACCUUUAAGAUCUAAGACUGUGGUAC
rnacentral:misc_RNA from 1 species